ensembl:lncRNA
GAGACAACUAGACAAACUGCAGGAGGGGAAUAUCUGAAUCUCUAGGGUUCUGUGAAUUACUCAACCUCUCACAAUCAUAAGAAUGACUGAAAGCAAGAACAAGAGACUGAACACAUUAUACAAACAUAUGCCCACAGAACUCUGACUUGCAACUUUUGUAACAGCACAGGAAUCCAAACCAGCCUCUACAGUAGCCAGGCCAGGAAGUCAAACCAUAACCUCUGCAGCAAUUGACUCAGAGUAGUCAGGACUUGGUCACUGAUUUCCAGCUUCCAUAUUUUUUGCCCCUUCUUCCAAUUGGAGAAAACCAAAUACAUUCCUCAAAAUCAAUCGCAUAAGAUACUCCACUUUGGGUUAGACUGCUUCUGGCUUCCCAAACAACUUCUAGUCAGAGCAUAACUGAAGCCAUCUUCCUUCUGCACUAUAAAGCUUUCCUACCAUUCUGCCUGCCUUUGAGUCUCUGCCAGACACAAAGUGAGGGGAGCUGACCACCUACUUCAGCAAGUUCUGAGCAAGUAUAUCAAGAAUGGAAGAAACCCUGGAAAAAUGAUCAAGACUUGUUCUGUUUCCUAACAGAAGGAAGAAUACUGUGCAGUCAUUUAGGGCUGAGAAGUCAAGCAGCCAUCAGCUGGGACACUCAAAAUGCAGAGCCUGCAGAGAGGCCUGCUGAGCUGGGAAAAUGAAAGACAACUCAAAAGGAAGAACAUCUCCUCCUGCUAGAUAUCCUGUGUUUUAUUUCUCCCUGUGAGUGCUUGUUAACUGAGUUGUAAAAAUCUGGAAACCAAAGAUCUGGAAGUGCUGACUCCGCCUUUAGUGGCUCAUUCUGAGCCCUGUAACUACCAGAGGAAAAAUGCUCAAAAGAGGCUGACAAAGAAGAGUUCAUUUCCCAUCAUGUCUUGUCUGUUUCACAAGAGUAAGCAUAGCCACGAGGGAGAGGGAGGGCCUUCCAGCAGUUGUCAGUAGCUCUGAACAUCAUUCAAGGUACCAGCACUCACACACUGCAUUUAACCUGCCCCCAUAUCCUGCUCCUGAAAAGUCAGCACAGACUUGCCCAUGACACUACAUUUUUUCCCUUUCUGGAACUAAUGAGAUGAUUCAAGAGAAAAAGCUUUCAAAGGACAAGCUAUUCUUCUUCACCAAAUACUCAGUGGCCUUUGGCUUGAGCACUUAGGAGACACGUUGCAAAAGGAGGAAGUAUGAGUUAACUUGCCUUCUUGACUUCUGUAUGAACAGGUGGUUAACAGGUGCUGUAAAAGUGAUCCAGCCAGAAACUAUCCCACCAAUUAUUUAUGAAAUAUUUAAGUGGGACUGUCAAUUGCCAUUUCUGCCUGCUGGGGGCAGAACUCUUGAUUAUGACAUUAAACAUUCAGAAAAAUGUUUCAAUUUGACCCUACUGGUGAUUUAUAAAUCAGGAUUAAAGAAUACUAGAUUUUUGCUUAUAUCAACUACCACCCUCUACACACACAGGAACUUUUCCACUCACCCUCCACUCAACCAUUGCUUCCUUU